rnacentral:rRNA from 1 species
AUGUCGUCAGCGUGGCGGCGCUCGGUGAGGCGCCGCGCGCCCGUGAGCGACCGGGAGGUGGGCCGGCGGGAGCUGGGUCGUAGGGUGGAGGAGCUGGAGGAGGCGGUCGAGGGGCUUCGUGGGGAGAAGAAUGCGGCGGAGACAGACGAAGCGGCGCUGUGCGCUGAGCUGAACGCGGAGCGCGGUGCGGCGGAGUCCGCGGCGCGCGAGACCAUGUUGAUGAUCGAGCGGCUGCAGCGGGAGAAGGCGGCCGCUCUCCUGGAAGCGCGUCAGUUCCGCCGACUGGCCGAGGGACGCGUCGAGCGCGACCGGCAGCUCCACAACGAGCUCGCGUCGCUAUCAGCCCUCGCCGGCGGUUACCUCGCCCUCCUUCACGCCCACGGCAUCCGCCCCGCCGACGAGAACUGUUACCACGAGGAGGAGCGUCCCGGGGAACACAUCGAACCGGAGGUCUACAGGGAGCAGGGGCGGAGCCCAUUGGGCCGACCCUCCAACGCUGUAUUUUGGAAUUUGGAAAUGCAUGUCCUUUUCAACUCCGCCCCUGACAGGGAGAGUAGCGGCGCCGGCGGCGAGAGUGGCAUGAAUGUCAUGGUGAUCAAGAAGUCGGUCCCGCCGCCUCCUGCGGAGGAGUUGGAGUACACGAAAGACAUGGGGUGCGCGGCCGCGACGAAGGCUGUGGCUGUGGAGUACACGGAAGAGGAGCGCGUGGAUGGUGCUCUGGAGCUGUACGCGAGGGUGGAGGCGCUGGAGGCGGACAGGGCGGCCACGCGGAGGGGGGUGGCGGCGCUGCGAGCCGAGCCAGCGCGAGUGGUGCUAGCAAGGGAGAUGGCACGGCGCCUGUGCCGUGAAUCCGCGGCCGUCACGAUGGUGCAGAAGCCGCGUUUCUCCGUGGUCGCCAUUUGCAAGUGUUUCUUCUCCAUGAUCCUAAAGAGCAAGAGAUGUUUUACGGCCAGAAAGUUCCCUGUAUCACUCAGGCUGACGUUUGGCCUGUCGUCGGCGCUCGGCAUGCUUCUGCUUCUGGAGAGAUUCACCGCUGCACUGCACCGCCGCCGGCGAUCACUGUUGGACUCAUAG